GCAGUCGAACGGCAGCACGGGCUUCGGCCUGGUGGCGAGUGGCGAACGGGUGAGUAAUGCAUCGGAACGUGCCCNUGUCGUGGGGGAUAACGUAGCGAAAGCUACGCUAAUACCGCAUACGCCCUGAGGGGGAAAGCGGGGGAUUCUUCGGAACCUCGCGCGAUUGGAGCGGCCGAUGUCGGAUUAGCUAGUAGGUGAGGUAAAGGCUCACCUAGGCGACGAUCCGUAGCGGGUCUGAGAGGAUGAUCCGCCACACUGGGACUGAGACACGGCCCAGACUCCUACGGGAGGCAGCAGUGGGGAAUUUUGGACAAUGGGGGCAACCCUGAUCCAGCCAUGCCGCGUGAGUGAAGAAGGCCUUCGGGUUGUAAAGCUCUUUCGGCCGGGAAGAAAUCGGCGACUCUAACAUAGUCGCUGGAUGACGGUACCGGACUAAGAAGCACCGGCUAACUACGUGC
rnacentral:rRNA from 1 species